GAUGAACGCUGGCGGCGUGCCUAAUACAUGCAAGUCGAGCGAACAGACGAGGAGCUUGCUCCUCUGACGUUAGCGGCGGACGGGUGAGUAACACGUGGAUAACCUACCUAUAAGACUGGGAUAACUUCGGGAAACCGGAGCUAAUACCGGAUAAUAUAUUGAACCGCAUGGUUCAAUAGUGAAAGACGGUUUUGCUGUCACUUAUAGAUGGAUCCGCGCCGCAUUAGCUAGUUGGUAAGGUAACGGCUCCAAGGCAACGAUGCGUAGCCGACCUGAGAGGGUGAUCGGCCACACUGGAACUGAGACACGGUCCAGACUCCUACGGGAGGCAGCAGUAGGGAAUCUUCCGCAAUGGGCGAAAGCUUGACGGAGCAACGCCGCGUGAGUGAUGAAGGUCUUCGGAUCGUAAAACUCUGUUAUUAGGGAAGAACAAAUGUGUAAGUAACUAUGCACGUCUUGACGGUACCUAAUCAGAAAGCCACGGCUAACUACGUG
rnacentral:rRNA from 1 species